UACAGAGGGUGCGAGCGUUGUCCGGAAUCACUGGGCGUAAAGCGCGUGUAGGCGGCCAACUAAGUCGGGCGUGAAAUCCCACGGCUCAACCGUGGAAGUGCGCUCGAAACUGGAUGGCUAGAGUCCUGGAGAGGAAGGUGGAAUGCUUGGUGUAGAGGUGAAAUUCGUAGAUAUCAAGCGGAACACCGGUGGCGAAGGCGGCCUUCUGGACAGUGACUGACGCUGAGACGCGAAAGCGUGGGGAGCAAACAGGG
rnacentral:rRNA from 1 species